GUGUCUGGGAAGGAGAGAAAAUGGUGGCGGAACCGAGCAAGACCGAAAUCCAGACCCUUUUUAAGAGGCUUCGCGCAGUUCCAACCAACAAGGCUUGUCUCGAUUGCGGCGCCAAGAAUCCGAGUUGGGCCAGCAUCACGUAUGGCGCUUUCUUGUGCAUUGACGGCUCCGGGGUGCACCGCUCCCUGGGCAUCCUUCUGAGCUUCAUCAGGCCCACAGAGUUGGAUUCCAACUGGAACUGGUUCCAGCUGAGGUGUAUGCAGGGCGGCGGGAAUGCCAAGGCAACGGCUUUUUUCUGCCAACCGUGCAGGCCAGUGAUGCCAACACCAAAUACAAUAGCCGAGCUGCCCAGAUGUACCGGGAGAAGAUCCGGCAGCUGGGGAGUGCGGCCAUGGCUAGGCACGGCAGUGAUCUUUGGAUAGACAACAUGAGUAGUGCUGUUCCUAGUCACCUCCCGGAGAAGAAGGACUCUGAUUUCUUCACUGAACACACUCAACCCCCUUCCUGGGAUGCACCAGCCACUGAGCCUUCAGGGACCCAGCGGCCAGCGUCGUCUGCAGAAAGCAGUGGCCUGGCACAGCCAGAGCAUGGCCCCAACACAGACCUGCUUGGCACCUCACCCAAAGCCUCACUGGAACUGAAAAGCUCCAUCAUUGGCAAGAAGAAGCCAGCAGCAGCUAAGAAAGGGCUGGGUGCCAAGAAAGGCCUAGGGGCCCAGAAGGUGAGCAGCCAGAGCUUCAACGAGAUUGAACGGCAGGCCCAGGUGGGAGAGAAGCUCCGAGAGCAGCAGGCAGCCGAAGCCAAGAAGCAGGCGGAGGAGUCCAUGGUCGCCUCUAUGCGCCUGGCCUAUCAGGAGCUCCAGAUUGAUCGUAAGAAAGAGGAAAAGCAGCUACAGAACCUGGAAGGGAAGAAGGGAGAGCAGGCAGAGAGGCUGGGCAUGGGCUUGGUAUCUCGAAGCUCUGUCUCCCACUCCGCGCUGUCUGAUGAUCGAGCCGGUGAUCGAGCAGGAAACCCCAGUGAGGGCAAAGUCUUCUUGCUCGCAGCUGGACUUGUUUGACGAUGUUGGUACUUUCGCCUCUGGACCCCCCAAGUACAAGGACAGCUUUUCCUUAGGGGAAAGCUUUGGUUCCCGCUGGGAUACAGAUGCUGCCUGGGGUAUGGACAGGGUAGAGAAGGAGCCAGAAGUGACCAUCUCAAGCAUCCUGCCUAUUUCAGAAAGGGCCACAAACCGGAGGGAGGUGGAGAGCCGGAGCACAGGCCUCGAGUCUAGUGAGGCGUGUCAGAAAUUCGCAGGAGCCAAAGCCAUCUCAUCUGACAUGUUCUUUGGGCGGGAGGUGGAUGCGGAGUAUGAGGCUGGGUCUCGGCUGCAGCAGCUCUCAGGCAGCAGCGCCAUCAGCUCUUCAGACCUCUUUGGGACAUGGACGGGGCUCACGGAGCAGGAAGCGUAUCUCUGGGGAACGUGCUGCCUACAGCGGACAUUGCCCAGUUUAAGCAGGGUGUCAAGUCUGUGGCCGGGAAGAUGGCUGUGCUGGCCAAUGGUGUGAUGAAUUCCUGGCAGGAUCGCUUCAGGCGUACGGUGUGA